GCAAAGUCUCAAGCUUAGUCUCUCCAAAAAUUUCAAAACCUCCCAAAUAUCCAAAUCUUGUUAUCCUUGUUUAAACUCAAAACAAAAGUUGUCCCAAAUCUUGACCCUAUCUUGACCUUGCACUCAAGUGGAAAGCUUGUUAUCCCUCAAUUCUUGUACUAGCUUCAAGAAGCAAAAUAUUGUAAGAAAAUUAUGUUCAAAUAUAUAUUUAUUUUUGUAUUUAUCUAUGUAUCAAUUGUCUAUAAUCAAUUAAAUUUAUCAGA
rnacentral:lncRNA from 1 species